ensembl:misc_RNA
UUUACAGACUUGGAACCUAAAUUCCUUUAUUCAGACAUGGAAGACGUAAAACACAAGGAGUAGAAGAUUCCCUCCAUUGUUCUGCCAAUAAAUGUCAAUCCUGACCUGAAUGAAUCACCUCUAGAGUGACAGGGUAGUUCAUUUUCCAUUCCUAUUCACUCCUUGGCCUCU